GCUCUUAUGGUAGAGAGCAACAGGAUCAGGAUAUUUAUCCAGCACCCCAUCCUCUCCCUUUUCUAGUCCAUCAGGGCUCAGAGAUGGAAUUGUGUGGUCUGAGCAAUGGGGAUGCUUCUGGAACUUUCCAUAUGGAUCAGCUGCAACUGACACUUUAGUCCCUGCUAUGGCACAGAGAACAGCUGCUUUAGUCAUGCAUGCUGAUAUACAUCUUUAAUACUUCCAUCCAUUAGUCUGAAGAAAGCUGUUUUUAGUUAGUUUUGGAGAUACAGGGAACCCUGGUGUAACUUUUAAUGUUAUCAGAUGAACCCUUCCUAUACACAGGAACCUUUUUCUGUGUGAGAGCACUCAUAAACAUGACACUCAGUCUACCACCUCUGGUCUACCACUGCAUUCUAUGUAAUAAGCAGAACAGCUCCAAGUGUUGCUCUCUCUCUCUCUCCACCCCCACCCCAAGAAGAAUGCAGCAAGUGAACCAUCCUAUAUCAUGUUUAUUAGAAUGCAGAAGCUCCCUGGUCACCCAAGAGGCCAUUGCUCAGUGGCAGACUGCAUGCCUUGCUUACAGACGGUCAGGUUCUGAUCCCAGAAUCUCUAGUUAAAAGGAUCUGACACAGCAAGAACUGAGCCUCAGAAUUGAAAGUGUGAUAUUCUGUCCUGGGACACCAUGGCUCAAAUUUAGAAAGGAAACAGGGAUUGGAGGAAUAAGAAGAAAAAGCACCCAGAUCCUACACAGAGCAGCAAACCCGGAAGGAAAAGAAGUAGCCUUCUUGGUUUCAGGACCCUCCUUCCACAUAGAUGUGACUGCCAAGAAACCCCUGCCCAUCUGGUAGUGUUAACACCAUACAGAGGACUGAAAGUGGAACUAACUUGCUUUCUCCCUGCCAACAGUAUACCAGCCUGCUGGCAAACCUGUCCUAGGAGAAGAUGCCCAGAAUUCUUAAGGGUGGGGGAGAAGAGCUCUCAUGCACAAUUUAUUUUCCUGUGAGGUAAGAGAAGACAAACUGCUAAAACAGAAAAUCUC